UGUUUCAAUGUUAAUUUUCUCAGAUUAAUUAGUUUCUCUGCUGAUAAACAUGAAAACAUGUCUCUGUGCUAAAGGACUAAUAAACUGAUAAUGGCUGCAGUGGUGAGCACACUUCAGCUAAUCCAUUAGCAUGCUAACAGGGAAGCUAGUUUUUCAUUUAGCACUUUUGCUAGCUUUGAAAACCUUUAGCUUCCUGUAAAUAAAUUCUCUUUAAAGCGUCAUUUAUUUACUCGGCUGUUUUCUCGACUCUCAGGUGAAUAAAUUUCGACAUUUUGUUCAAGUUUUGGUUCUGAACUGUUCAGAUUUCUCCAGGAGUUCAAAGUUUAAAUCAUGCUCUUAUUUUGAAGUGAUUACGUAACGGCUCCACUUCCUCUCCUGGUUCUUCCAUACAAACUCACAGCAUCAGAAACCAAACGAGGAUAUUAGAGAAGAAAAGAUUCAUUUAGUUCAUUUAGUGGUGUACGGAACUGAAGCUAGUGCGUUAGCAUUAGCUUUAGCCAAGCUAAUGUUUAUGAUGAGUGCUUCAGGGUCAGAGCGUUCAGCUUCUGGCCGCCCACCGUCGGACGGAUAAUGGAUAAGUUCAAACUGAAGGCAGAUAUUUGUUCCGUUUCCAGGACGAUGGAUCAGCGCCGAACAAAUCGCUGGAUCUGAUGAAGACGACACGACGGCGACGACACCAACACCCGGCUGAAGCAUCAGAGGUCGCGACCCCGCCUGUUUACAGAGGAAGCGUUUGGCUGUGUGGCUGAAGGCCGACAACCAGGUUCUACAGACGGAACCACAGUCCAGGAUCAAACCGGACCCAGUGGUUGGUGACCUUCACUCGGACCGGCCGGUUCCUGCCUGCCUCUGCUGACCCGGCUGCCUGAUAAGAUGCUAUCAGGAUCCCUUUAAGCACUUGAGAGGCACUUUAGGAGACGACUGGAGCCAUUACCAUGAAAAGUCCGGACCUCUGGCUGCGAUCUUAUUUUAUGAUGGAGCAACUGGCUCUCAUUCUUCCCUGGUGCAGCGGCGCUAUCUGCACUUCCACAGGGCCGUCCUUUAAAAGGUGCAGAGCAAAGGCUCGGCGUUAUCAGCCGAUGUUAUUCAAUUGUUACAGGACAAUCUGGGCCAUUAGCUGCUGUGUUAAAUAAUGCAUCCGCUUUUAAAGGCGAGCCUUAUCUCGGCCCUGCGUGUGUGUGUGUUUUAACAUUAUUAGUAUAGGAGUGUAAUGAAAGGUCCCCUCCUGAUGGACGCUGAUAUACAUCCAAGGUCUUUCUGCAAACCUCCGGCUCCUCCACAGCAACAUAAACAACCGCUGACCUUUUUAAUGAAGCCCGGCUUUAUCUGCUUUUAUUAAAAAGGACAACAAGAGGCGGAAACGCUUCAGACGAGAUAAAAAUGGAAUCAUAUGAGCUCGACCAAAGGCGCAGACGAUCGAUCGGCGCUGGGGAGCGUGUUGCUACGAGACGCCAGAGGAGGACGAGAUGAAGUCAGGAGGUGCACGGAUUGCAGCUUGGCUGUCUGCCCGAUUCAAACCAUCCAAGUCUGAGCAACAAAGGGAAGGAGGAUCUUCUGCUGGAGCUGCACUCUCAGGGCCAGGAAGCAAAGAUUUACCAGGUUUUCCUCCAUCGGACCUAAAUAUCCAAACAGAACCCAGAGGGAGGGGAAGUGGAGCCGCUCAGGUCCAGCAGAACCCAGAUUCGUUUACGGCAACAAACAGGAAUAUUCCUGG